UACGAAGGGGGCUAGCGUUGCUCGGAAUCACUGGGCGUAAAGGGUGCGUAGGCGGGGCUUUAAGUCAGGGGUGAAAUCCUGGAGCUCAACUCCAGAACUGCCUUUGAUAUUGAGGUUCUUGAGUUCGGGAGAGGUGAGUGGAACUGCGAGUGUAGAGGUGAAAUUCGUAGAUAUUCGCAAGAACACCAGUGGCGAAGGCGGCUCACUGGCCCGAUACUGACGCUGAGGCACGAAAGCGUGGGGAGCAAACAGG
rnacentral:rRNA from 1 species